rnacentral:rRNA from 1 species
GACGAACGCUGGCGGCGUGCUUAACACAUGCAAGUCGAACGGUAAGGCUCCAGCUUGCUGGGGUACACGAGUGGCGAACGGGUGAGUAACACGUGGGUGACCUGCCCUGCACUUCGGGAUAAGCCUGGGAAACUGGGUCUAAUACCGGAUAGGACCGCACCGUGAGGGUGUGGUGGAAAGUUUUUUCGGUGUGGGAUGGGCCCGCGGCCUAUCAGCUUGUUGGUGGGGUAAUGGCCUACCAAGGCGGCGACGGGUAGCCGGCCUGAGAGGGUGGACGGCCACAUUGGGACUGAGACACGGCCCAGACUCCUACGGGAGGCAGCAGUGGGGAAUAUUGCACAAUGGGCGGAAGCCUGAUGCAGCGACGCCGCGUGGGGGAUGACGGCCUUCGGGUUGUAAACUCCUUUCACCAUCGACGAAGGGUUUCUGACGGUAGAUGGAGAAGAAGCACCGGCUAACUACGUGCCAGCAGCCGCGGUAAUACGUAGGGUGCGAGCGUUGUCCGGAAUUACUGGGCGUNAAGAGCUCGUANGUGGUUUGUCGCGUCGUCUGUGAAUUCCGGGGCUUAACUCCGGGCGUGCAGGCGAUACGGGCAUAACUUGAGUACUGUAGGGGAGACUGGAAUUCCUGGUGUAGCGGUGAAAUGCGCAGAUAUCAGGAGGAACACCGGUGGCGAAGGCGGGUCUCUGGGCAGUAACUGACGCUGAGGAGCGAAAGCAUGGGGAGCGAACAGGAUUAGAUACCCUGGUAGUCCAUGCCGUAAACGGUGGGCGCUAGGUGUGGGUUUCCUUCCACGGGAUCCGUGCCGUAGCUAACGCAUUAAGCGCCCCGCCUGGGGAGUACGGCCGCAAGGCUAAAACUCAAAGGAAUUGACGGGGGCCCGCACAAGCGGCGGAGCAUGUGGAUUAAUUCGAUGCAACGCGAAGAACCUUACCUGGGCUUGACAUAUACAGGAUCGCGCUAGAGAUGGUGUUUCCCUUGUGGCUUGUAUACAGGUAGUGCAUGGUUGUCGUCAGCUCGUGUCGUGAGAUGUUGGGUUAAGUCCCGCAACGAGCGCAACCCUUGUCUUAUGUUGCCAGCACGUUGUGGUGGGGACUCGUAAGAAACUGCCGGGGUUAACUCGGAGGAAGGUGGGGAUGACGUCAAAUCAUCAUGCCCCUUAUGUCCAGGGCUUCACACAUGCUACAAUGGUCGGUACAGUGGGUUGCCAGCCCGUGAGGGCGAGCUAAUCCCGCAAAGCCGGUCUCAGUUCGGAUCGGGGUCUGCAACUCGACCCCGUGAAGUCGGAGUCGCUAGUAAUCGCAGAUCAGCAACGCUGCGGUGAAUACGUUCCCGGGCCU